GACAUUUGAGGUUUGCUCAUACUUUUUUUACUUGUUUAUUUGUUGUGUGUGUUUCACAGCUUUGAAGUGGAGCCUGGAAGCACUGAGAGAGGGGAAUGCAAGUAAGACUUACAUGUUGAAAAGAAAAUUCAUUUUUCAAAUCCUUUAUUAGAAAGCUUUAUGAGAUAUUUCUGCAUAAACCUCAAAAAUACACAUAUGCCAAUCUAACAAAAUGGGUUUGUGGCCAGGUGUAACAUGAGGAUCAUGUAGGUUGUUUGCAGGAGUGAACUGGUUUCAUUUGGGGCAGUCCAACACUCACAAUAAGAAAAAGAGGCAGAUCCAUAAGAGGCAGAUCUAUAUUGGAAAACCAGAAAGACAAGGCAAAGGUCAAAACAGUGGAAAUACCAACACAAAGUAACACGGCCUGGAGCUCAGUAGAGAAACGGGCACUUCACAAACAUACAGACGUUCGGAAGGUGGCGUUCUUAUUUGGUUCAGGCUUAAAUGGUGUCUUUGGGCCUUUCAAUGUUGAAACCACACUGAUUUUCAGAAAACAAAUCACAAAUGUUGGGAACGCCUACAGUCCAAUCACAGGUGUUUUCACUGCUCCACUCAGAGGAGUCUAUUACUUCAGGUUUAAUGUAUUUGGUAGCAACUCAUACUGGAUGACUAUAGACUUGUAUAAAAAUCAAGAGCGAAUCAUAACUGCAGCUGAAUAUCCAGGGGGGCAGCAUGAAUACUCUGUUGGUGGUGCCACUCUGCUGCUGCAGAAAGGAGAUCUUGUGUAUCUUAAGCUCCGCGCUACCUGUCAAAUUUAUGACAGUGCUGACAACCAUUCCACUUUCACCGGCUUUCUGCUGUUUCCCAUGUGAAGUGCUUUAAUCACUGGAAAAAAGCAAUCAGUUUGCUGCAUUUGUGUAAAACUUCCCAUGCAAAAAAAAACAAGAAAUAAAAAUAUAUCAUGCUG